rnacentral:rRNA from 1 species
UACGUAGGUGGCAAGCGUUGUCCGGAUUUACUGGGCGGAAAGGGAGCGUAGGUGGAUAUUUAAGUGGGAUGUGAAAUACUCGGGCUUAACCUGGGUGCUGCAUUCCAAACUGGAUAUCUAGAGUGCAGGAGAGGAAAGUAGAAUUCCUAGUGUAGCGGUGAAAUGCGUAGAGAUUAGGAAGAAUACCAGUGGCGAAGGCGACUUUCUGGACUGUAACUGACACUGAGGCUCGAAAGCGUGGGGAGCAAACAGG